CCUACGGGAGGCAGCAGUGAGGAAUAUUGGUCAAUGGACGAGAGUCUGAACCAGCCAAGUAGCGUGAGGGAUGACUGUCCUAUGGGUUGUAAACUUCUUUUAUCAAGGAGUAAAACGCGGCACGUGUGCCUUUUUGCAUGUACUUUAUGAAUAAGGAUCGGCUAACUCCGUGCCAGCAGCCGCGGUAAUACGGAGGAUCCGAGCGUUAUCCGGAUUUAUUGGGUUUAAAGGGAGCGUAGAUGGGUUGUUAAGUCAGUUGUGAAAGUUUGCGGCUCAACCGUAAAAUUGCAAUUGAUACUGGUAGUCUUGAGUAAAGUAGAGGUAGGCGGAAUUCGUGGUGUAGCGGUGAAAUGCUUAGAUAUCACGAAGAACCCCGAUUGCGAAGGCAGCUUACUAAACUGUGACUGACACUGAUGCUCGAAAGUGUGGGUAUCAAACAGGAUUAGAUACCCGAGUAGUC
rnacentral:rRNA from 1 species